rnacentral:tRNA from 1 species
GAAAUAGCUCAGCUUGGUAGAGCGCUUGGUUUGGGACCAAGAUGUCGCGGGUUCAAAUCCUGUUUUCC